rnacentral:rRNA from 1 species
AUUGAACGCUGGCGGCAUGCCUUACACAUGCAAGUCGAGCGCGAAAGGGGGCAACCCCGAGUAGAGCGGCGGACGGGUGAGUAACACAUCGGAACGUGCCCAGUAGUGGGGGACAACCUCGAGAAAUCGAGGCUAAUACCGCAUACGACCCACGGGUGAAAGCGGGGGACCGCAAGGCCUCGCGCUAUUGGAGCGGCCGAUGUCCGAUUAGCUAGUUGGCGGGGUAAGAGCCCACCAAGGCGACGAUCGGUAGCUGGUCUGAGAGGACGACCAGCCACACUGGGACUGAGACACGGCCCAGACUCCUACGGGAGGCAGCAGUGGGGAAUUUUGGACAAUGGGGGCAACCCUGAUCCAGCCAUGCCGCGUGCGGGAAGAAGGCC